GGGGCGUUAGCUCAAUGGUAGAGCAACUGCCUCUUAAGCAGUGGGUUACAGGUUCGAGUCCUGUACGCCCCA
rnacentral:tRNA from 1 species